UACGUAGGGGGCAAGCGUUGUCCGGAAUCAUUGGGCGUAAAGAGCGUGUAGGCGGUUCGGCAAGUCGGCUGUGAAAGUCCAGGGCUCAACCCUGGGAUGCCGGUCGAUACUGCCGGACUAGAGUUCGGAAGAGGCGAGUGGAAUUCCCGGUGUAGCGGUGAAAUGCGCAGAUAUCGGGAGGAACACCUAUGGCGAAGGCAGCUCGCUGGGACGUUACUGACGCUGAGACGCGAAAGCGUGGGGAGCAAACAGG
rnacentral:rRNA from 1 species